rnacentral:rRNA from 1 species
AUUGAACGCUGGCGGCAUGCCUUACACAUGCAAGUCGAACGGCAGCGCGGACUUCGGUCUGGCGGCGAGUGGCGAACGGGUGAGUAAAGCAUCGGAACGUGCCCUGUAGUGGGGGAUAACUCUCCGAAAGGAGUGCUAAUACCGCAUAUACUGUGAGCAGGAAAGCAGGGGACCUUCGGGCCUUGGUCUACAGGAGCGGCCGAUGUCAGAUUAGCUAGUUGGUGGGGUAAAGGCCUACCAAGGCGACGAUCUGUAGCGGGUCUGAGAGGAUGAUCCGCCACACUGGGACUGAGACACGGCCCAGACUCCUACGGGAGGCAGCAGUGGGGAAUUUUGGACAAUGGGGGCAACCCUGAUCCAGCCAUGCCGCGUGAGUGAAGAAGGCCUUCGGGUUGUAAAGCUCUUUCGGCCGGGAAGAAAUCGCAUAGGCUAAUACCCUGUGUGGAUGACGGUACCGGAAUAAGAAGCACCGGCUAACUACGUGCCAGCAGCAGCCGCGGUAA